rnacentral:lncRNA from 1 species
AAAAUAGCACAUGACUUAUGGGGAGCAAUGUUUCAGCUGACUGUAGAUCUGUCAUAAGAAGCCAUGAAGACAGAACAAAGUGGUGUGACGUUUUAAAAGUCACUAUAAAUUUCUCAUGAAAAACUAUGAAGCCAGAAAGAAGUGGCAUGACAUUUUUUAAGUGCUGAAAGCAAAGGAAUAUUAACCCACAACUCUAUAUUCAGGAAAAUAUGCAUGACAAAUGAAGGAGAAAUAAAGAUAUUCUCAGAAGAAGGAAAACUAAGAGAAUUCUUAACCAGCAGACCUCCUUGAGAAGAACUUCUAAACAUUUCUUCUAAACAGACAGAAGGGCUCUAACCCGAGCUUCAAGCCCCAUUUGUAUGCAGCUGUCCAUGGGUGUCAGUAGUUGUUUGACUUAGCAGAGCCGAGAGCCCCGGGUUGGGAGUGGAGAGAAAAAAGGGAAGAGCUGCAUUCCAGUCAACAUGCUCCUGGAAGGACCUGACCUCUCCCGCUCACUUUUUAAAAAGGCUCCAUAGUCAAGGAAAGCACUUAAAAAAUGUUGUGCUACAUAGUUUCUGAUGAGAAAUCCAC